CAUAACUCAUGGAUAUUUGUCAAUGCAGGUUUCUCAGUAUGCAGUCUGCACUGGUUUAAUAUGUGACGAGACAAGCAAUCCAUUGAGAAUGGCAGUGGAUAAGAUGCAGAUAAGCAAGAAAGAGAAAUUAAGGAUGAAAAGACAGAGCAGUUUCUGAAAAUUCAGAUUGUGCACUUCAGAAUAAUACCAUAAAGGCUCAUCACUUUAAUCAGUUAUUGAUUACACCGUGGGGACAUUCUACAGAUUCCACUCAAUGCUACUUUUAAAAUGACAUCUGGUCUAAGACAAGGGAGAUUAAGAAGCCAGAAAUUACUAUUCUUCACAGGCAGAGUCACCCAGGAAUCCAAUCUGUGUGACUGCAGCUACUUGCGUACGUUCAUCUACCAGGAUCCAGCACUGAGCUACGAUUCGCAGUUUUAGCACCACUACAACAACCCAGAGGUCAAUAAAUCUGUCCCAUUAGAACAGUGUACUUUCUGACAAUCUGCUACACUGCUUUACAAAAUCGUCAUGGGAGGAAAUAUCUAGGUUUGACUUAACCAACCAUCUGUCUACACAAAAAGUCAAAAUGUGUAAAUUUACAUACAAUGUUUUGCUGCCCAAUUGCAGCCAUUAAGUAUUAUUCCUUUCCCCCACCCUUUACUUUAAAAAAGAGACUAUUUUCUAUCAGUUCAAUAGUGGCAUAUGCAUUUUCUGUAAAGAAAAUAAGCCAAAGCAAUUGGGCAUGCAUCAGCAUGCAAGAAAGCAUGCUCUGGGUUGGAAUACACAGCUCAGUGCACAGGCUUGCUGUUUGCUGCUAUCCUGAAGUGCAGAAUAUCUGCACAAUUAUAAGGCAUACUCAGUGGCAGCAGGAGGCAGCACUUGUAGUUUAGUCUGCUUCUACACUCUGCUUUCACAGAUUGUUUUGAACCAGAUGGACAUUAGUCUAAGUAGCAUUUACACAAGUUCAAAUAAAUUACACAUUCUUAGUCCUAACUUCCUGCUUCAGUACAGUGUUUUCAUCUAUCCUGAAGUAAGAACAAAAUGAAUCAUGCACGUCUAAAUGGAUGCAUUGGGCAUGCUAAAUAAGGAAUAGGUAUAAUCAUUUAUAGUAAAAGCAAUUAGAUCACAAGUAAUGUGCUUAAACUCUUAAAGCACCAAUUGUUUAAUUUCCAGCUACUUGAGACUAUGAAACCAUUACUUGAAAAUUCAAUAACGUUUGGUUUAUAGAGAACCAAACUGCAAGAUUUUAGCUUUCCAUGGUUAAUUGAUCACAUUUGCUUUCACUCGUUUUUAGAUUUUAUUGUUAGUGAAGAAAAUCUGCUUAAUACUGAAAGCUGAAAAUGCAGUGUGAAAUAAAUUGAACUUAAUAAUGAAAAACAUGGCCUGUUGCACUUUUUGGUCAUUUUUCUUAUUUAAUUAACUGAAAACUUACAGUUCUGAAUUUUAAUUCACUGACAAAUAACUUUAUUAAAAUAAAAUUAUGAUUGCCUGUGGUGUCUCACAUCCUUCCAGAAGACUGAGUUUAAAAACCUACAGACUUUGGAGAGAGAGGGUAGCAAGAAAUAAAUGCACAAAACAACUUUGGUCUGCUUCCCUCCAAGCAAAACUUCCUGUACAAAUUCAAGUUGAAUAUGGUCUUGGAGGUGAGAAAGGAAUGGGGAUUAUGUAAAGCCAGUGGUGGGAACAAUGACUGGUGGAGUCUGGAACAGCAGAAGAAGAGAACACUAAAGGCAGGAAAUAGAGAGCAGCUAUCAACAGUAAUUUAAAGAAAAAAGUAAAAAUGCAAAGUGUCCAUAUAGCAUUUUCAAAGAGAUGAAAAUAAACUGGAAGGAUGAAAUAGGGAUUAUCAAUCAGUGUAGGAAUAUGCCUCUUUCCACCUCUCUCAAUAUAAGCAUCAAGUUAAGCAUUGUCAGUAGAAUAUUUUUAUCCUUCUCAAAUAAAGUUAUGAGUAACAGUCCUGAUGCCAUGAACAUGACAUAAGUGCUCAGCUAUGCCUGGUUCUCCCUGCUGCUGAAUAAAAUAUUGUAAUCAGUGUAGUGGAAGAUUUCACAUUUUAAUGAUGCAUCUUGAGAUGUACAACAGUUCCCUUUUAAAUUUGGUUCGGUGUGAUUCCUGCAACCUCAAAAAUGGGUGAUAGCAAGAAUAAACUCACUGACAGUUGUGGCAGUAGAGUAUUCUUGAUGGCAAUGGUUAAUGAUGCAUCUAUAUACUGGAUUUAGGCCUCUGUAGAGAAUCCCAGUCUUGGCAUGAAGUAUUUCUUCAGUUUGAUAGGCAGCAACAGUAAACUGCACUGAUGUUUGGCUUUCCAUAACGAUGACAUUGCGAAGCAGGGAGGUGAAAUUCCCCUUUACUCAAACAUCACAUCUUGUUUAAAGAAAUAGCAUUUGCUUGUUUUAUUUAUACAAGUGUAGAGGAGACUGAUUUCUAUACAAAAGAAGCAUUGAAUGCAGUUCUGUUUUAUUCUCCAACAGAACACCAUAUGAAAAGGGUGAAAAGGAACUGUGUGUAGGCCCAGUCCCCAGUGAAGGUUACAUAACUCUGUGAUGUGUCACUGAAGGCACCCCAAAACAUACCAUUAUAGUAGUCAACCUAUUGCUUGCUUUAUUGUGCCAAAGCAUUUAUAGAGAAGCUCAUCCUCCUCCUUGUACUCUUUCUGCUGCAGACUGUUUGAAGGGGAAAGAGUAAAUAAACAUAGGCCAAAACAACGUUUCUCCUCACUCAGCAGAAAUGUCUGUACACAAAUGCUGAGAAAACACUGUGCUAUUCUUCUGAAGUUCUUUGCAGGACAGAAAACAAACAAUCAAAUGAUGUGCACAGAUUAGCAUCUAUCUCAUCCUAAUAGCAGUCAGCUCUUCAGAGACAACUCAGCCAUUUUAAGGGAGGAAAAAUACAAAAACCACAUACAAAACCCACACAACCUCUUUCAAAAUGUAAAACAAAAAAUGUGACUGAAAAACUAUGGGGAGGUAUAUUGAACAAAACACACUCUUUUCAAUCAGUGAUGUUAAUGAACUUCACUCUGAAAAGUAUUUUUAGACGCAACAUGACAACUUUUUUAAAAGGAAAUAAAUUAAAAGACCUAAUUAAUUCAAGACAGUAAGGAAGAAUUCUAAAAAUUUCUAGGAGUACCCAAGUGGUCGUGUUGGACCGAGAAUCACACAGUCAGGAGCUUUUCUAGCCAGGCUAUCAAAGCCAUCUAAUGUCUAUUUCUUGCAUUAAACAUUUACCUGUUCACUCUGUCCCUUCCUACUGGUUUGGGCUCAGUCUGUUUUCUACGCUGUUGCUUGCACGGUGCUGUUUUGGAUCUGUGUCCAAACCAGUACUUCAUAUUGUAGCUACUGCUAUUGCAGUGCUUACACAGUACCAAGGCCUUCUCUCUUGCAUGCUAUCCCUCCCAGCAGCUAGGCCUUGGGUGCACAAGGAGCUGGGAGGGGACACAGCCAGGACACUGACCCAAACUGGCCAUGGGGAUGUCCCAUAACUUAUGACAUCAGGAUCAGCAAUGAAAAUCUCAGGAAAAGGAUGAAAGGUAAAACAUUUGGAGUUGCAGUCCUUGCCUUCCCAAACAAACAGAAAACAUUAUGGUAAGCUUUCCUGGAUAUGGCUAAAUGUCUGUCUUCUGGGGUUAACCCACAGCCAAUAUUUAAAAUACCCAGUUAUUUUGAUUAGUAGCAAAAAUAGCAAUUUAUAUCUUUAUUUUCCUCUUUCACCUCUCUUUUUUUUCCCAGUUAUUACUAGAAAUCUGAAUGCAUUAACUACUACUAGCUACUAAAGAAAGAAUACAAAUGUCAGGCUUACAAGAUCACAAAAUAUUUGUCUCUAAAUCUGUCAACUUAGUGUAGAGAAAAAGUACCCUGAAUACAAGUGGUCUGAACUGCAUCAUCUGCCUAAUUUUAUUAAUAUUUCAUUCACACUUCUGCUUCUACUUCACUCCUACAGACCCCUUCAGCUUAUUAAUUUUUUGUUUACAAGGUAAUUGAAAAUGUAGCCAGGAAUAUUAGUCAUUUGUUUUAUCUGUGACUAACAAAAUAAAAAGGCAUUCACAAGAGCAGAUGACUUUUCAAAUCCCAUCCUAAGAGACAUAAGCUAAUCCACUACACUGAUAAAGAAAGAUUGAUUUAGAUUCAUAUAUACAAUAAAAAUCCUCUAAAAUAAUUCUUCAUAUCCAGCCAAAAGCCAAAUCAAAAAAUAAAUUAUAUUACAUAGCUCGACACAGAAAUACAAUGGUUAAAAUUGCAUAUGCCUAAUGAGAUCAAACUCCUACUGUCUUCCAUUUGAGAGUACAAAUCUACAUGAAAUAAAAUACCAUGCAAAAACAUUUACCUAUUCCCUAGCUGUACUUUGCUGUUUAAAAGACUGUUCUAGAACAUCAGGAUAGUAUGCACAAAAAUAAAUAUGUUCUGUACUUGCAUAUACUCCAUUAAUAAUAACCGCUAUGGUAGUGAAUAAUAAACAUUCAGGUAGGUUGAAAACCAGUGUUCUGAUAGAAAUGCAUUAAAGAUGUAAGCAUAGGUCUUACUAGCUGUCAGAAGUUAAGCUCAGGGAAAGAUCAGUAAUUUGUUAUUGUUUUCAAAGUAAAUAAAAAAUAAGUAACAGGCAUCUCUGCCUCUGAAAUUUUCAUUAAGCCCAUGUAAGACCUUUGGAAUGUGUCUUCAAAUCGUCCAGCUAUCUGCAAUAAUGACAUAAUUUUGCAGAGAAAAAUUAUUUGACAAGUUAUUAAAAUAUUGACAUGAAAAGAAGUUGAGAAAGAGGUAGCAAAUACUUUGUAUUUUGUGAAUUUAUUGUUCCUCCAGGAACAAAAAGGAAUUUCAAGCUUUGAAUACUAAAAUAUGCUACUAAAAAUUAUCUCCCCUAUGUUCCAGGUAAAAUAGUAUCAGACUGAGUCAAAGGAGAUAAAUGACUAGGCAAGACACCCCGCACAAUAUCAGAGUGAGGUUGUCAAGGGGAGGGUAGGGAGUAAGAGAAAAUUGCAUUUUGAAACUAUUUCACUGUCACAGGAAAAAAAUAGAACUUUCCACUUGAUACUAGUGCCUCUCAAACGUUAAUCCCAAUUAAUCAACCAAAAACAGCACUUGAUCCUCCUUCAGAAUUGAUCUAGGAAAUAAAUGUGUGCACUAUGUAUAAGCCUGUGUUCAACUUUUUUUUUUUUUUUUCUGGCACUCAUACAGAUUUAAAAGACAAGUUACAUGGACAUUCUUACACAGAUAACAUUAUGGGCCAAAUGACCAUUCUUUCAUGCUCCUCUUAUCUUUUUCUGGGAAACUCCAGGGAUUGCCAUCAAGAUCACAGAAUCAUAGAAUGGUUUGGGUUGGAAGGGACCUCUAAGAUCAUCUGGUUCAAACCCGAGCUCUCAGCCUGUCCUUACAGGGGAGGUGCUCCAGCCCUCAGAUCAUCUUCAUGGCCCUCCUCUGGCCUUGCUCCAGAUGUGAAGACACAUCCGGAGUUUCUCUUUCAGCAGGUUCUACAUUGCAAGCAGUAGGGGGUUUUGCAACAUGAAUUUAAUUUGGUAACAAUGACAUGAGGAGAUAUGGAUGUACACACAAAUUGCCACUUUCCCUAAUAACAGUUUAAAGAUUUGUAAACUUCAAAAUGGGAUUUAUCAUACCAGUAAUCUUUCUUUCACCAUAUUUUUCUUCUGCUAAUACACAUUCAUAACCUCAUCAUUUGCUUCAACAUGAUAUUCUGAACUUAACUUUGUUUAUAAACCAAUAAAUCCUUCCAAAUCUUGUUAACCUUUAGUUACCUUGUUAUUACCUGACAUGGCAAUUAAUACUAAAUUCUAAAUAUUUUCAGCCAUUGAAUAGCCAUUAUCUUAACCUAUAAUCUUUAGUCAGAUAAGCAUAAUUCUUUUUCCACAAAGUACUUCAAAAAGCAGCAGCCAGUAACUGAAAUGUUAACCUUUUACUUCCAUAUCAUGCUGAUAAGUACAAUGAAUAAAAUAAAAUAAAUUUUGCCACCACUUUUAAUGGCUCUUUUUUUUUAAAAAUCUAAUUAAUAUAUUCUUCUUAACAAGACAAGUGGUGAUAAGCUUCUAGAUUUUAAAUCUCCCCUUGAAAGCUCCACUUUCUUCAUCAGAGACUUCUCUGAGAAAUGCUUUGGACUUGUACACAACUAAAUGACAACACGGGGCGCUGCAGGAUAUGGCUAGCAUAGCAUUCUACAUAUCAACCAGAAAUAGAAGAGGUUAUUUUGGGAUCUUGCCCUUAAUCAUAUUUAAGCAUAGAUUCCAGAGGCUGUGGAAUAAUCACAGUACCUUGAAUCCUGUCUCGUAUCUUCAAACACACAUUUUACUGCUUUCUCCAUUUGGAAACUCUACUGAAGAACACUGAUUACACCGAUCUUAGUUUCAGAAAUAGCAAGCUAAAGCAUACUCUUAUGAGAGCUAGAAGACACAAAAUAAAACAUAAUAAAGGUCUUUUGUGGCAUACGAAUUUGCUCUCUGUUCCAAACGCUAGUCUGAACAAAGGCCUAGGACUGAGCUACCCAGAGCCCAAGGAAUUUGAUGAGUUUUCAUGAAGAAAAACUUAGAGCAUUGUGCUCCUGAGCAAAAAGUUUGCAGCUCCAGCUCUAAGCAAUACAAACAAAUUUAGGCUUUAGCAUCCAAGGGUAGCAAAGCCUGGAGAAGAUCUCAGGAAUGACAAUA